rnacentral:rRNA from 1 species
UGACAAAAUAAAUAUUGUCUCUUUUAUUAAAAUAAAACUUAACUUUUAAGUGAAAAGGCUUAAAUUGUUCUAAGGGACGAUAAGACCCUAUAAAGCUUUAUAUUUAUAUUUUAUUUUAAAAAAUUAAUUUAAUUGUAAAUUUAAGAUAUUUUAAUUGAUUGGGGCGAUGUAUAAAUAAUUUAUUUAACUUUAUUAAGUUAAAACAUUUUAUGUAUGGAGUGUUAAUAGAUCCUUGUUAAAGAUUUAAAGUAAAGUUACUUUAGGGAUAACAGCGUUAUUUUUUUUGAGAGUUCAUAUCGAAAAAAAAGAUUGCGACCUCGAUGUUGAAUUAAAAAUUCUGUUUAGUGUAGCCGCUAAGAAAGAAGGUCUGUUCGACCUUUAAAUUUUUACACGAUUUGAGUUCAGACCGGAG